UAAGUUUACAAAAUUUCACAA
rnacentral:piRNA from 1 species